ACGAACGCUGGCGGCGUGCUUAACACCUGCCAGUCGAACGGAAAGGCCCUGCUUUUGUGGGGUGCUCGAGUGGCGAACGGGUGAGUAACACGUGAGUAACCUGCCCUUGACUUUGAGAUAACUUCAGGAAACUGGGGCUAAUACCGGAUAGGAGCUCCUGCUGCAUGGUGGGGGUUGGAAAGUUUCGGCGGUUGGGGAUGGACUCGCGGCUUAUCAGCUUGUUGGUGGGGUAGUGGCUUACCAAGGCUUUGACGGGUAGCCGGCCUGAGAGGGUGACCGGCCACAUUGGGACUGGGAUACGGCCCAGACUCCUACGGGAGGCAGCAGUGGGGAAUAUUGCACAAUGGGCGGAAGCCUGAUGCAGCAACGCCGCGUGCGGGAUGACGGCCUUCGGGUUGUAAACCGCUUUCGCCUGUGACGAAGCGUGAGUGACGGUAAUGGGUAAAGAAGCACCGGCUAACUACGUG
rnacentral:rRNA from 1 species